rnacentral:rRNA from 1 species
UACGAAGGGGGCUAGCGUUGCUCGGAUUGACUGGGCGUAAAGGGCGCGUAGGCGGUUUGCAUAGUCAGACGUGAAAUUCCUGGGCUUAACCUGGGGGGCUGCGUUUGAUACAUGCAGGCUUGAGUUCGGAAGAGGGUCGUGGAAUUCCCAGUGUAGAGGUGAAAUUCGUAGAUAUUGGGAAGAACACCGGUGGCGAAGGCGGCGACCUGGUCCGAUACUGACGCUGAGGCGCGAAAGCGUGGGGGAGCAAACAGGG